rnacentral:rRNA from 1 species
GAUGAACGCUAGCGGCAGGCUUAACACAUGCAAGUCGAGGGGUAUAGUUCUUCGGAAUUAGAGACCGGCGCACGGGUGCGUAACGCGUAUGCAAUCUACCUUUUACAGAGGGAUAGCCCAGAGAAAUUUGGAUUAAUACCUCAUAGUAUAACGACCUGGCAUCAGGAUGUUAUUAAAGUCACAACGGUAAAAGAUGAGCA